AGGGCCGCGGCGUCACUUACACGCCGCGGCCAGCCUCAGAUUUUGUGUUUAGUGGCAUCCUGAAGCUGUUUGACGGUGCCUGGGGACAGCUGCUGACAUAGAUGAAGAUGCUGGUGGAGACGUUGCUAUCGUGGGUGUUAACCUACA